CCUACGGGAGGCAGCAGUGAGGAAUAUUGGUCAAUGGACGAGAGUCUGAACCAGCCAAGUAGCGUGAAGGAUGACUGCCCUAUGGGUUGUAAACUUCUGUUAUAAAGGAAUAAAACGAGGCACGUGUGCCGUUUUGCAUGUACUUUAUGAAUAAGGAUCGGCUAACUCCGUGCCAGCAGCCGCGGUAAUACGGAGGAGCAGAGCGUUAUUCGGAUUUAUGGGGGUUAAAGGGAGCGUAGAUGGGUUGUUAAGUCAGUUGUGAAAGUUUGCGGCUCAACCGUAAAAUUGCAAUUGAUACUGGCAGUCUUGAGUACAGUUGAGGUAGGCGGAAUUCGUGGUGUAGCGGUGAAAUGCUUAGAUAUCACGAAGAACCCCGAUUGCGAAGGCAGCUUACUAAACUGUGACUGACAUUGAUGCUCGAAAGUGUGGGUAUCAAACAGGAUUAGAUACCCCUGUAGUC
rnacentral:rRNA from 1 species